CAAUAGCGUAUAUUUAAGUUGUUGCAGUUAAAAAGCUCGUAGUUGGAUUUCGGGUUGGCUUCAGCGGUCUCGCUUUGCGUUUGUACUGCCGCAGCCUUCCUUCUUGCUGGGGACGGUCCUCCGGGCUUCAUUGCUUGGGGUCUGGAAUCAGCGACGUUACUUUGAGUAGAUUAGAGUGUUCAAAGCAAGCCUACGCUCUGAAUAUAAUAGCAUGGGAUAACACGACAGGACUCUGGCCUAUCGUGUUGGUCUGUAGGACCAGAGUAAUGAUUAAGAGGGACAGUCGGGGGCAUUCGUAUUCCGUCGUCAGAGGUGAAAUUCUUGGAUUUACGGAAGACGAACAUCUGCGAAAGCAUUUGCCAAGGAUGUUUUCAUUGA
rnacentral:rRNA from 1 species